rnacentral:rRNA from 1 species
GCCAGACUCCUACGGGAGGCAGCAGUGAGGAAUAUUGGUCAAUGGUCGGGAGACUGAACCAGCCAAGCCGCGUGAGGGAUGAAGGUACAGAGUAUCGUAAACCUCUUUUGUCAGGGAACAAAGGCGGGGACGUGUCCCCGGAUGAGUGUACCUGAAGAAAAAGCAUCGGCUAACUCCGUGCCAGCAGCCGCGGUAAUACGGAGGAUGCGAGCGUUAUCCGGAUUUAUUGGGUUUAAAGGGUGCGUAGGCGGAACGCCAAGUCAGCGGUAAAAUCGCGGGGCCCACCCCCGCUCCGCCGUUGAAACUGGCGUUCUUGAGUGGGCGAGAAGUAUGCGGAAUGCGCAGUGUAGCGGUGAAAUGCUUAGAUAUUGCGCAGAACUCCGAUUGCGAAGGCAGCAUACCGGCGGCGAUCUGACGCUGAGGCACGAAAGCGUGGGUAUCGAACAGGAUUAGAUACCCCCGUAGCC